rnacentral:rRNA from 1 species
UACAGAGGUCUCAAGCGUUGUUCGGAUUCAUUGGGCGUAAAGCGCACGUAGGCGGCUUUCUAAGUCAGGGGUGAAAUCCUGGAGCUCAACUCCAGAACUGCCUUUGAUACUGGAGAGCUUGAGUCCGGGAGAGGUGAGUGGAACUCCGAGUGUAGAGGUGAAAUUCGUAGAUAUUCGGAAGAACACCAGUGGCGAAGGCGGCUCACUGGCCCGGUACUGACGCUGAUGUGCGAAAGCGUGGGGAGCAAACAGGG